CCUACGGGCGGCUGCAGUGGGGAAUAUUGGACAAUGGGGGGAACCCUGAUCCAGCCAUGCCGCGUGUGUGAAGAAGGCCCUCGGGUUGUAAAGCACUUUCAGUGAUGAAGAACGCCUGGUGGUUAAUACCCAUCAGGAAAGACAUCACUCACAGAAGAAGCACCGGCUAACUCCGUGCCAGCAGCCGCGGUAAUACGGAGGGUGCGAGCGUUAAUCGGAAUUACUGGGCGUAAAGCGCGCGUAGGUGGCUUGAUAAGCCGGUUGUGAAAGCCCCGGGCUCAACCUGGGAACGGCAUCCGGAACUGUCAAGCUAGAGUGCAGGAGAGGAAGGUAGAAUUCCCGGUGUAGCGGUGAAAUGCGUAGAGAUCGGGAGGAAUACCAGUGGCGAAGGCGGCCUUCUGGACUGACACUGACACUGAGGUGCGAAAGCGUGGGUAGCAAACAGGAUUAGAUACCCGGGUAGUC
rnacentral:rRNA from 1 species